UACGUAGGGUGCAGGCGUUAAUCGGAAUUACCGGGCGUAAAGCGUGCGCAGGCGGUCUUUUAAGUCAGAUGUGAAAUCCCCGGGCUUAACCUGGGAACUGCGUUUGAAACUGGAAGGCUAGAGUGUGGCAGAGGGGGGUGGAAUUCCACGUGUAGCAGUGAAAUGCGUAGAGAUGUGGAGGAACACCGAUGGCGAAGGCAGCCCCCUGGGCUAACACUGACGCUCAUGCACGAAAGCGUGGGGAGCAAACAGG
rnacentral:rRNA from 1 species